UGCAAGUCGAACGGUAACAAGGAAAAAGCUUGCUUUUUCGCUGACGAGUGGCGCACGGGUGCGUAACGCGUAUGCAACUUACCCCAAACUGGAGAAUACUCUUUCGAAAGAAAGAAUAAUACUCCAUAGUAUUUCAAAGAGGCAUCUCUUUGUUCUUAAAGCUUCGGCGGUUUGGGAUAGGCAUGCGUUCUAUUAGUUAGUUGGUGAGGUAAAGGCUCACCAAGACCACGAUAGAUAGGGGGCCUGAGAGGGUUAUCCCCCACACUGGUACUGAGACACGGACCAGACUCC
rnacentral:rRNA from 1 species